rnacentral:rRNA from 1 species
GACGAACGCUGGCGGCGUGCUUAACACAUGCAAGUCGAACGAAGUGGCGAACGGGUGAGUAAUACGUGGGUAACCUGCCCUCCUUUUUGGGAUAAGCCUUGGAAACGUGGUCUAAUACCGAAUAAAGGGUGAUGGGCUCGCGGCCUCUCAGCUUGUUGGUGGGGUGAGGGCCUACCAAGGCGGGGACGGGUAGCCGGCCUGAGAGAGUGACCGGCCACAGUGGGACGGAGAUACGGCCCAGACUCCUACGGGAGGCAGCAGUGGGGGAUAUUGCACAAUGGACGAAAGCCUGAUGCAGCGACGCCGCGUGGGGGAUGAAGGCUUUCGGGUUGUAAACCUCUUUCAGCGGGGAGGCGUUACCCGCAGAAGAAGCACCGGCUAACUCCGUGCCAGCAGCCGCGGUAAUAC